rnacentral:lncRNA from 1 species
AUGCAGGUCAUUGGUGACCAGAACACAAAUGCUUCCAUUAUUUCAUUCUUCCCCGAAGUCUGUGAUCGACUGGGGCAGGAGAUGCUCUGGGUUUUACAGAUGGAGACGCUAAGGUCCCAAGAAGGUGACCAUGCCAGUUGGCACAGCAAGCUACUAAGCUGGCACUGGGAUGGUGGUGGUUGUGGCUCUACCUCACCGAGCACAGGUCUCCAGUUGCAGUUGUCACAUUUCAAGGGCUCAAUAGCCACAUGUGCAUCUUAGUGGAAGCCCCACCUGGAUCAAGGCAUGAGAACAUAAACACCGCCUCUCGAUGGGAGAAGGGCCAAGCUGGUAAAGAGAAUGUGGGAGCAGAAAUAUGGUUGUGGUUGUGGUUGUGCUACACUUCUGACUCUCUUUUUCCUCUCUGGCUUAUUUGCUUUGGUCUCUAUAUUUCAUGGUAGAGACUUCCCUCUAAAAUGCUCUCCCGCUCAGUGUGGAGCUCCGAGAGGCUAGCUGGAGUC